ACUCAAAUGAAUUGACGGGGACCCGCACAAGCAGCGGAGCAUGUGGUUCAAUUCGACGCAACGCGAAGAACCUUACCUGGGCUUGACAUGUAGGUGACAGCCGUGGAAACACGGUCUCCCUUCGGGGCACCUUCACAGGUGGUGCAUGGCUGUCGUCAGCUCGUGCCGUGAGGUGUUGGGUUAAGUCCCGCAACGAGCGCAACCCCCGUCUCAUGUUGCCAGCGGGUAAUGCCGGGGACUCAUGAGAGACUGCCGGUGACAAACCGGAGGAAGGUGGGGAUGACGUCAAGUCAUCAUGCCCCUUAUGCUCAGGGCUACACACGUGCUACAUUGGCCAGUACAGAGGGUUGCGAUGCCGUGAGGUGGAGCCAAUCCCAAAAAGCUGGUCUCGGUUCGGAUUGGAGGCUGAAACUCGCCUCCAUGAAGGUGGAGUUGCUAGUAAUCGCGGAUCAGCAACGCCGCGGUGAAUACGUUCCCGGGUCUUGUACACACCGCCCGU
rnacentral:rRNA from 1 species